UCAUAUGUACAUGCCUACAACGUUAAUGCACCAAAUUUAAUUAGAACUCCACAGUUAAGCGUGCUUGGGCCAGAGUAGCACUGGGAUGGGUGACCUCCCGAGAAUUCCUAAUGUUUUACAUGCC
rnacentral:rRNA from 1 species